UUGAUUUCAAAUUUCAAAUUGAGAGCCUUUUCAUUUUCGUUCUCUCUCUCUCCCUCAAAGAUCUGGAUUUGGAUCUUUCAAACACAAAUCACAAUCGAAAUUUCAACCUACACACAAACUAACAAUCUGUACAGAUGAAUCAGUAAUCAUAUCCAAAUUCGUUGAAUGCAAUAACAUCACAUAGAUUCAGAAACUUACAAUAAACAUUAAAUUAGGUCAAAAUUUCAACUGAAUUUCGCGAAAUCGGAGCUUAUAGAAGUCGUCUACGAGGUCAUAAACCCUACGCCGCCGACGAAUAAUAAUCGCUCACCGAAUAAUUUCGCGUUUUUGACUGAAAAUGGAGCCGGUAAGAGACAAUCUUCGCUGCAAUUACGAGUUUUUAACGAAUCUGUUACUUUCAAUGGAUUCCAUGUAUUUUGAGGGCUUCCAGUUGAAUUUCAAGUUGAAAUCCCAUGUCUUGUUCUAAGUGCCAGGUAAUAGCAACAUUUUGAUGGUAGUGUUGGAUCUGCAAAACGAGAGCAAUUGUUUGAAGGGAUUUAAUGCUGCUUUAUGAAGGCUGUGCUGAACAGGGUUCACCUGCCAAGACCCGACUGGUAUGAGGAGCUUUAUGCUGUAGCUAUGGCUGCAUCAAUGAAAUCUUAUGAGGACGAGGUUAGUAUAAUUAUGUUGUUUAUGUAAGUUAAAGACUGCCAAAACGGGUCGGGUCAUGUAACUUAGUACUUGUCAAAUGGUUGUUUCAAGAAAUUGAAUCAAGUUGGUUCGGGUCAAAAUGGUCCGGGGUUGAACGGGCCGUUUUAGAGAAAAAGAAAAGCGUCUGAAUGGGUUCAUCUGCUAUAUGGCGACUGGUAGCUACAGCACUGGUUGAGACGGAAAAGGUUUCCUUUCACAACAAUUUUUUACAUGCUAAUGGCUAGAGCACUGGUUGUUCCCGUUGGAUAUUACAUGCAUAUGCAGGUCUUUUUUCCUAAUUAUAUUAGUGUUUCUAUCAUCUCGAGGGUAGAUGAUAGUUUAUUUGUACUAUAGAACCCCCACAUGGCAAAUUAGAUUCUGAAAGAUCACCCGUGUUUUCAAGGCUAGGCACUAAAUUGAAACAAAUGCAAAUGGAAUACAGGUUUGUUGUUUUUUUUAAAGUAUUACACUUAGUAAAAACGGGAGCCGAUAAAAACGGAAUAUUUUAGAAGAUGAUCGAAAACAAAGAAACGGGUAAAAGGCACCUUAAUGCGGUAUCACUGCACGAAACGGGUUGGGGUUGAAACGGGUCAUUUGUCUACACGGUCAAAAGGAUCUGGUGGUGUAUUUCUAUAAUUUUUUGUGUCUACACGGUCAAAAGGAUUUGGUGGUGUAUUUCUAUAAUUUUUUUGUCUCAUUUACAAUUAGAAAACAAUAUUAUUACAUACACUUUUUUUUUCAUGCGAAGAGGUACAUAGCAGUAAUGUUGUUCGUUUUGUUCCAAGAACAUAAGUUGAAUUUUGAAAGUCAAACAAUCUACCUUUGGUUUCAGAGUUCAAAUAAACUUCGUUUCAGUUUGUAAAGGAGUUUAUAUUGGUUCAAGAUGUAUAAAAAAUACGAUCUAUAAAUAAAAAAACAUGUAUAUAAUAUUUUAUAUAAUAUAAAAAUCAAAAUUGCAUUAAGAAAGUUCUAUGUUUGACUUUGACUCAUUGUGUCUUUAACACGUUUUUGCAGCUUAGCAUUGAUUGGUCUUGUUCUUGGUUCAUCAACAGUGGCAAGAGGUGUAGUUGGUCUUGUUCUUGGUUACCUGAACAAUUUAGUUAUAGAAAUGGCUUUCUUGAUUGAGGUGCAUAUCACAGCAUCCAUCACCUUCAAAUCGGAUUGUUGGUUGGGCCAGAUUUUUAAAGCUUUGUUGUUUCCUUUUUUUAAUUUUUUCCCUUCUAAAAUAGUAAAAUCUCAUCUACUAAUUCAUUUUAAACUAAAACCUCUAUGGUUUGCUUA